UGGGGAAUAUUGCGCAAUGGGCGGAAGCCUGACGCAGCAACGCCGCGUGCGGGAUGACGGCCUUCGGGUUGUAAACCGCUUUCAGCAGGGACGAAGCGUGAGUGACGGUACCUGCAGAAGAAGCACCGGCCAACUACGUGCCAGCAGCCGCGGUGAUACGUAGGGUGCGAGCGUUGUCCGGAAUUAUUGGGCGUAAAGAGCUCGUAGGUGGUUGAUCGCGUCGAAAGUGAAAUCUCAGGGCUUAACCCUGAGCGUGCUUUCGAUACGGGUCGACUAGAGGAAGGUAGGGGAGAAUGGAAUUCCUGGUGGAGCGGUGGAAUGCGCAGAUAUCAGGAGGAACACCAGUGGCGAAGGCGGUUCUCUGGACC
rnacentral:rRNA from 1 species